UAAAUUAAAAAAAUUCGGAAACAAUUCGAACGGCCCAUCCUCCUAUCCCGAGGCUAUUCUGAAGAAAAAUUAUUUGAUUUUACCUAUUCCAAUGUCAAGGUGAACUUGUUACCUUCAAAAUGCUUAAUUAAAAAUUCAGUAAACGACUAAACUUUUAUUUUAAUGAGAUGAAACAAGGACGACGUGUGGAUUCAUUCGGGACAAAGAAAAACGAAGGUUUCUUUUGGGUUCUUUCUUGGCACGCCGAAGGCUAAUGUCGCUUUAAGGGCCUAAAGGUUUUCUUUUAGUUUACCUUGAAGCAAACUAUCAGAACACGACGCUUUUUUACGACUGAAAUAUGCUAUCUUCUUUCUCUGAAGCUGGAUAUCUUGGUGCGUCACUAAACACGUGAUCAUAACAAAGGCACGCCUUGGUGUAAAAUGUAUAAAAGUGGGCAGACAUCAGUUUAAAUCGUUCAAACUCGUUGGAGUAUUGAGAACUCCGCAGCCUCGAUGGAUAACAUGAGCCUCUUGAUGAUCUGCGCUGGCGUUGCUGCUGUUCUUAUCGUUUCGGCAACCAUUUCUUUGGCUGAGCCGAUGGAAGAUGCUGUUGCCGAAGCUGUUGUUAAGAGGUCCAAGAAAUGGUCAGAUGCCAAUGUUUUCUGAGGAUUGAAUUGCCAUUACUCCAAACUACCUGUUACCUUAAAGUUCCUAUUAAUCGAUCGACUGUUGAGCUCAACAGUUUGUCCCAAAUCUAAAUUGAUUUGUGUUUUACUUUCCAGUUUCACAAAAGAUGCCAAAAACACAUUGAAUUUUCUGUUUGUCAAUUUUCAAUGUAUACCUAUCCAUUUACAAUCAUCUUAAAGCUUCUGGGUGAAUGAACCUUUGUAAGGGUAGACCAAUUUAUUUCAGUUUAACAUAAGAGGUCGUGUUUUCUUCAGUAAGAGUUCGGAUAAGAAAAACAAGAGGGUAAACCUGAAACAACGAAAAAACGGACGAAAGUAAACAACAAAUGCAUUCGACUUCAGAGGCCAAUGAACUUCAGGUCCAUGUUUUCCAGUCAACUAGGGUAACCCCAGGUAAGAAAAACACGAAGGUCAAGUACCUACUGUUGUUUUUUUCAAUACCCAAAAAAGGCAACGGCUGUACUGUGCAGGGAGAUUAAAAUCAAUUCAAACCGGUUGGGAUGUUAAGACAAAGAAGGUGAGUCAUGAAUUACAUUGUAUUAAGAAUAACUCGGCACAACUGCUCAUCGUAUAGUAUAAUGAUGCACUUUAUAUACUCAUGUUUGCAGUUGUCGGGUAAUGUUUUAUUGAUAAGUGACAAGUUUCAAUUUUUCUUAAACUUAAAUUUCUUUCUCUGCAUUAGUCUGCAAUGCAGACUGCAUCUCUGCAACUGCAAGUAAAUACGGUUAUGAAAAGGGUGCUGAAUAGGGUGUAUUUUCCCCAUAGCCAAUCAUCGAUCAGGAUUUCCAACAAGUAUGGCCGCCGGUUUGCUUACCCGUUCCCUAAUCCAGUGCGGCGGUGCCUCUCUUUUUUUCAGGCAGCUCAUGCAAAUGAAUUUUUAACACAACUGCGUGAUAAAACAGUACAACAUGCAUUGUUUGUGGAUAGCAAUUAUUUGGUUAGCAAACUUCUCUUGUUUGCUAUGAAUAUAGCCAUUUUCGUUUGAUUUCGAUUUGGCAUUACAAUAUAUUCUAUUUUUGCGAAUUUCCCGGGAGCCUCUGUGGCCUAAUGGAUAAGGCACCGGCCUCCUAAGCCGGGGAUUGCGAGUUCGAGUCUCGCCAGAGGUAACGAAUUCCAAAGUUCUUGGUAUCUUUUUGUGUUAAUUGUUACCAUUUUUCUCAACUCUCGCGUUUAAAAAAUGAAAUGUUCUGUAUUAUGUUAAAAAUGUAGUUAUUUUAUUUAGCGAAAACCCGUCGAAUAACCCCCAAGCUCCUUCAGUUCAAACAACACAAUUUCUACGUUUUAUACAUAUCCGAGAUUAAGUUAAAAGGAUCUAUAUUUCCUAUAGCAAACUAUACUCUGGGCAAUAUUGAAAAUGGUAAAGGCUCAGGUGCGCAGAAUUGAACAACAAAUUUCGUGGAAAUACUGACUGUUGCGGUAACAGAUGUCUCUGAUAAAUAUACAAGAAAAUGAAAAAGCAAUUAGGAAAAAAACGCCCUCCAACAUCAUACGAAAACGAAAACUUGUAUCAGUGACUCAGUGUUGCUUGUGGUUGUGGUAGUUACGGUGAUCGGUGGUAAAAUUUAAUGCAGUAUCAAAUUUAAGAAGGAGGCGAUUUAGAAAGUUCUGUGACUGGAUGUUUUUUUUUAUUCCGUUCCAGCCAAAAACGUUUUCUUUAAAGCCUCAUAUCGACGGUUUGACGACGUUUGUUGUAGACAAUUUUGAAUUGAACUUUUGCAGACGAGAAUUUUGAUUGUUCGUGUAAUCUGGUAAUUGAAUUACCUCUGUCGUUUCUCUAAAACAGCAAAAACAUUUCAAAGUUUUAAUUUCUUAUUUUUCGAUUAAUUCAAUAAGUAACAACUGCGUACCGAAGUGUUUCAUUUGGCUGUAUUUUGGGACGUCUGGAAACAUCUCAGUGAAAUCUCCUAGUUUGUAUCAAUAGUGUGUCCAAGUGUCGCGAAAGUUACGUUCGUCACACCAACCAACACUGCGCACACAUAUAACACUCCAUUGGUUUUUCAAAAACGAUUCGUUUGGGCUGGCGGGACGGUUGGCGCAUUCGUGCCACGUCAAUUGAACGGCUAUUCACCUGUUAGAGUUGACGAUGUCCACGUCAAGAAAAUGGCUGAUUUCGCAUAUUCUUCCAUGUCGGCUAACUCCUUGACACC
rnacentral:tRNA from 1 species